CCUCCUAACUAUUCCAAGAUAGUUGUUUCAGUGAUUUAAGUAUCUUUUUUCCUUCCAGUGAUAACAGAGGAGUAAUAACAGAGGAGCAUUCAGGGCUUCACCACGGCUGCAGAAGUUUCAGAGGGUAGUGGGGCCAGGAAUUCCUUGUGUCCGGCCUUCACCGUUGGUGAGGCUGGGCUGAAUGAAAGGAGAACAAAUGGAUUUGUUGCUUUGCUUAUAUGCCCACGCGGACCGCCCAGAAGGCAGAAAGAUUUCAGAAGCAGUAUGACAGACAGAGUGAGAGCAAGACUGUCAUCUGGAAAUCCCCCCAGUGUCACCAUGAGAGAGAGAAAAAAAAUGCAGCCCCUGCUCACAGCUUCAGGCUGAACACAUACCAGCGCAGGGCCUCCACAGCAGUGCUGCCUGCCUGACUAAUCUUCAGCCCACCAGUGAUUCAUCCAUACGAAGGCGCUCAUGAGGACCCUCCACCUCCACCCCGGAAUCCUCCCCAACAACUCUCUCCACUGCCAGCCACCUCAUCCUGGCCCCCCACCCUGCUUCUUUCUCCCCACCCAUGUCAGGGCUCAGAGGAGCGAAUGCAUUAGGGACAUCAUCCCCAGCCCAUCUCGGCAAGAGCUGAGGGUAUCCUAAGACCCUCAGAACAAGGGCCUUGGAAUUGGGUAGGGCAUGGGUCAAGCACGAGUCCCUUUGCUUGUUGGCUGUAAGCCUUCAACAUGUUCAUCACUUUCUUUAACCCUUGUUUUCCUCAUCUGUGAAAUGGGCAGAUAAGUGUACUAAUCUUUGAGUGAGCUUGUGCAGACUGAUAAUGUGAGGCAUAUAAAACAUGCUGCACCUAGAAAGUGCCUUAAAUGAGGCAGUUAUUAGUGUCAUCAUUAUCACACCCGAGGACUCAGCUCCACUCAGAAACUUAGGUCAUCUCAGCUCACCACGAGCAGCCCCAGACUUGUCUUCCAUGAUCUGUUCCUGCUGUCUCACACCCCACCCCCUUUACUCACUCUCACUAGAAAGUUCCAAGAGCAUGCCAUUCCUGCUGUGGUGACUUGGCUCUAGCGGUUCUGCUGGUCUAGAAUCUUCUUCUUCUCCCUCUUACCCUCCUUCCCUUUUGCCUGGCUAAUCUCUCAUCCUUGAGGUCUCAGCUUAGAUGUUAUUCCCCAAGGAAGCCUUGCUGAGCCCAUUUCUGCCUCCCUCUAACUGCUGUUAAAUGCUGUACCUCCUUGGAACACUGUCCACAGUCAUAAUCACAUCAUUAUGAAUUAACUAUUAUUUUGCAUUUACUAUAAGCUCCACAAGGACAGAAGCUGUAUCUCAUGGUGGCCUCAUUGCCUAGGAAAUGGCUUGGCAUAUAAUGUGAGUGAAAGAAGAAAAGGAAGGAAGGAAAAAGAAGGAGAGAAACUGAUUUGAGGGUAUAUGUGGACCAUCUAAAUCAGUACCAUUCCAGGUCCAGUUGCGUGGGCUCAGCUCGGAGGACCAGACUUCUGUACCAACUAACUUUUCUACAUAGGCUGAGGCCUGUUCCUGGAUUGCAGCCAGCUUUGUCCAGCCCAACACCAUACCAACGUCUUCUACACCAUUCUUUGGAGGAUUCAAUGCUCCUUUGAAACCCACCAGCACCACCUGAGGUCCUCCUAGGCACAAGCAUAACUGCCCACAUUGCAACUCAGCCACCUGCCCGCCACUGUGCUGCAAUUCCUCCACCAGGAUGCCCACUGUUAAGCCUGAUCUGACCCCUGGGCUGCCCUCCCCACCUUGGACCUCAGCUAAAUCCCGUGCCUUGAAGGCAUUAGACACACAGGCCCCGUCUGCAGAGGCCACAGGUCUGUCCUUCCAGGCUGAGUGGCUAAAGUCUGAGGCCUCCAGUCCUGGUUUGUAGGGUGUAAGGCUCAGGGACACCAUCUGCAGCACCCCUGGGCUUGUCAAGGAGCCAAGUUUUCAGUGCUGCCUCCUGGGAGCGCUUCUCACCAACUUCCCACAGAAUAGCAUAGAAACAUGACAUUUCUCUGAAUUCUGUUUAUUUGUUGGUAUAUGUUUGCAAUACAAUAAUUCAUCUUGGGGAAUUAGUACAUAUACAUAUCCCAUCUUAAUCAUUUUUACUUUGUCUCCUUCUCACCUCUCUCUCCAUUCCCAGAUCCAUUUCCCAUUCAUGAAUUUUUAAAUUAACUCAUUUGAAAAAUAUUAAUUUUUCAUGAAGUAUUUUACCUGCCCAAAGCUACCUACCACACCCCCUCCAUCCCCACCACACACAUUUUAGUCUUGCUGGAUCUGUGCAAAUCCCAAUAUGCAACUCUUCCCGGGGGAAAUGCUUGCCCGGUCCAAUGAACCUAAGUAACAGUCUUUGGAGCCUCAGUGCAGUGCACAGUGAAGUCCUGGCCAUCUCCCAUCCCAUUUACCCCACCCCUAGCUCUCUGACCUCACAGGAAGAGGGGAGGAUGACAAAGGCCAGCCCAGAGUCCUCCCAGAUCAUCAGGUAUGUAACCAAAGGCGUGGUUGUGUCCAUCUGGCAAAGGUUUUGGGUUUUGAGGGGAAAGCCAGGUGCUUUCUAGGAAGGAAGCACACCUCAUUAGCUCAGCCGGCUCAGCUCUUGGGCCGUGUGGGGUGAUGGGUAGAGAGAACAAACAGAAAAGCGAGGCCAAGGCCAAAUUUCCUGAAUGAGAGAAGCUGGGGCAGCGGAGGGGCUGGAAGAAGAGCAGCGUGACAGGAAGUUGAGCGAGAGGAGAGGCAAGGGAAGAUGAGAACGAGGAGGGGAGGGGAUGCAGCAGCUGUAGGGGUAAAAUUGCUCUGUGACACAAUCUGUGCCCUCUUCCUCACCAGCACUCUUCCUUGGUGUUUCCAGAAUCACCUCUAGGUUUUCGGUUCCCCAUUGGCACAAGUCAGCAGGUGGGGAAGUCCUCACCUGGGUGCAGGGUGAGCGAAUUUGGGGACAAACAGUAACACAGGUGUUUGUUUGCUUCGAUGGUGGCACAAUCAUUUUUUAUUGGUAUAAAGACUAAAGGAGAAAAACACAAUCUGUGAAAAUGAAAAACACAAAGUUCCCCUGAGACCCACCAGGUCAAUAUUAUUUUUCUCAUCCUCGUUAUUAUUACUUUCAAAUCCUGACUGAAUCAUUGAGUGGAGUGUUUUUAACCCAGGAGCCGGGGAUAGCUCCAAGACAAAGGAGAACCCCAAUCUUUGGCGGGCCACAUCGUACCAGCUGAUCGCUGCUUUCUUGUGGUUCAGUUAUCAGGAAAAGCAAACAAAGACCCAGCCGUUCUGAAGAAUGUUUUCUGGGCCCUUCUCAGGAAGAGCCAGGGGUUAGGAAGAGUGCCCUGCUUCGUGGGAGAGCUGGCCCAAGCGCCACACCAUGGGCGGCAUGCCACACUUAAACGCUUAUAAUUUAAUUCAAGAAAAUGCAGCGCUGAGCCAACAGCAAUAGCUUAGGAUUUGGGUGAGUCAAACGUGCCGAAGAGCAGUCAGUGUGCAGGCGACAGAUGGGGGCGGGGAAGGCCUACCUCAGCUGCAGUGGAGAAAGGAAGGCUGAGGACCUCUUCCACUUUAGAGCACGUGGCUUUUCUCUGAUUGGUGGCCCUAACGAGGAAGGUCUAAAUCUGCAGGCUUCUGAGCCUGGCGGUCAGGCAUGGUCACUUUAAAAAUAAACUCCCGUGACUGUAACCCUGGCUUAGCAUGUGCAUUUGCAGGCUUGGCCACAGCUACAAUUUGCAUUCACCAAAAAUAGUCAUUUCAACAUCUGGAAGUGAGACUAAGAAGGGUGAGCCAAGUUCAACGUCUCACUCUCUUGCUGUUGUUCUCCUCCAGGAAAUCAAGCAAAUCACCUCAGCCCUGUUCCCUUCAUUCAACAAAAAUUGAUUGAGGACCAUUUAUGCACUGUGGUGGGACCUAUAGCCCAACAGUGAACAAACCUCGGGCCUGGCCUCAAGGACCCUCAAGUCUUGUGUCUACUCAUGUCGUGUGGCUGCUCUAACAAAGGAUCACUAAGCGGCUGGUUGGAAAUAACAGAUUUUUUUUUCAGUCUCACAGUUUGAAAGACUGAAAGUCUAAAAUGUUGCCCUAGUGCCCUAGGGAAGAAUCCUUCCUGGCCUCUUCCAGCUUCUGGUGGUUGCUCACGAUCUUUGGCUUUCCUCCCUGGUCUUUGCCUCUGUUUUCACCUAACUUCCCCUCUGUGUGCCUAUGUUUCUGUGCCCAAAUCUCCUUCUUACAAGGACCUCAAGUCUUCUUGGAUUUAGGGCCCACCUUAAUUCAGCAUGACCUCAUCUUAAAGGGUUACAUCCGUAGAGAUCUUAUUUCCAAAAACACUCACUUUCUGAGGUUCCAGAGGAACAUGAAUUUGGGGUGGAAGGGCAUUGUUCAACCACACAAGGUGUCAAAUGGUAAAGCAGUGUGGCAGUUAGGGCGGAGUGGCAGCUUGAUCGGCUUUGGGAUUCACCCAGGGCGUUGGUGGAGCACAUUUGAUGUGUCUGGACAGUCAUGGAGAUGUAGCCUUGGAGUUUGUGUCUGGUCCCUCUCCCCUUCCUCUCUGGCGCUGUUCCCCUGAGCUGCUUCCCUGCUGCCAUGAACCAAGUAGCUUUGUUCUGCCACACCUUUCUGCCAUGAUGUUUCUGCCUCAGAGCCAGCUGAUCACAGACUGAAUAUUCUGAGACCAGGAGCCAAAUUAAACCUGUCCUCCUUUAAAUUGUGGGUGUUGCAUAUUGUGUCUCAGUGACAGGAAAACUGACUAAUACAUCCAGUAAACACAUUUAAAUAGAUAUGGGACAGGAUUAUAUGGCAAGUAUUAACAGGGCUGUUUUCCUUAUAGUGCAUCUCUAUCCUCCUUCUCACUGGUGCACCAACCAAGUCAACACACAACAAAGCAGAAAGAAAGGUGAAAAGCAGCACACCUCCUGGUUCCACAGGGAGACCUUGGAGGCAAGCAGCUUGCUGAGGCUGGUUUUCCUCUCCCAGAGACCACAUAAGCCCAGGCUUGGAUUCAAGAGAAUGAGAAAACUGAGGUCCCGAGACUUCGUCACAUCAAGGCCCGGGCCCCAACUCCUGGGGCGCCUUGGAUCUUUCCCGCUGCAUCAAGAGGUGUAAGCUGAGACCAAGCACAAAGGCUAGCCCUGAUUAACUCAUCCAACCAGUUUCAUCACAGAACCACAGAGCUCCCCCUGCACCAGCCCUGACAUGGGGGAGACAGUGCUUGGUUCCUUCUCCCACCCAGGACUUUGAGAAGAAAAUGGAUGUGAAUUUGUCAUUCCUCCAAGUCCAAAUGAACUCUUGAGCCAGCACUGAAUAAGGAAAAUGCACACCCCAGUUCAGUGAAGGGGAGAAAACGAACACUGGGUUUUGCAGCCCCUCUUAUUCUCCCUCCUUGAGAAAUCAGGGCAUCCAAGUCUCCCGUGGGGAAGGGAAAAUGGGAAGCAGACUUUUCCUGUCUUCUUUUCAGUCUUGGCAGCUGGAAUCUUACUGGACAUGUUAGUCACCCUUGCCUGAGACAGGCCACCCUUUCCUGAGAAAGGACAACAUUUCAUUCAAGAGAGGGCCCAGGGAUACCCCCACCAGGCCCAUCCUUCAAGCUCUGUGUCUUCCCCACACUGAGCUCUUUCAAGUUUGGUGGUAUCAUUCCAAAUGACUUAGGAGAUUCUUUUUUUUGGAAGUUCCACCCCAUGGCCUAUCAAACAUAAUAAAAAUCAUCCACAUCUCAUGCGUUAAGAGUUUGACCAAUGUGCCUAAGUAAUAUUUGUUAGUAUUCUGGCUGUAAAACAUUUGACUUUUAUAAUUCUGCUUU